UACGGAGGGUGCAAGCGUUAUCCGGAUUCACUGGGUUUAAAGGGUGCGUAGGCGGGCUGUCAAGUCUGGGGUGAAAUCCCACGGCUCAACCGUGGAACUGCCUUAGAUACUGACGGCCUCGAGGGAGAUAGGGGCGAGCGGAACUGUGAGUGGAGCGGUGAAAUGCGUUGAUAUUCACAGGAACUCCGGUGGCGAAGGCGGCUCGCUGGAUCUCUUCUGACGCUGAGGCGCGAAAGCUAGGGGAGCAAACGGG
rnacentral:rRNA from 1 species